rnacentral:snoRNA from 1 species
GAGGAUGAUGACUACAUAUUUGUCGCUCCACGCUUAGGGCCACCAUCGGUGGAUCUAUGCAGAUUGACAUACUUAUGAAUCUGACUC